rnacentral:rRNA from 1 species
GGAAUCUUCGGAUUCUAGUGGCGGACGGGUGAGUAACGCGUAAGAAUCUAACUUCAGGACGGGGACAACAGUUGGAAACGACUGCUAAUACCCGAUGUGCCGCAAGGUGAAAACUAAUUGGCCUGAAGAAGAGCUUGCGUCUGAUUAGCUAGUUGGUGGGGUAAGAGCCUACCAAGGCGACGAUCAGUAGCUGGUCUGAGAGGAUGAGCAGCCACACUGGGACUGAGACACGGCCCAGACUCCUACGGGAGGCAGCAGUGGGGAAUUUUCCGCAAUGGGCGAAAGCCUGACGGAGCAACGCCGCGUGAGGGAGGAAGGUCUUUGGAUUGUAAACCUCUUUUCUCAAGGAAGAAGUUCUGACGGUACUUGAGGAAUCAGCCUCGGCUAACUCCGUGCCAGCAGCCGCGGUAAUACGGGGGAGGCAAGCGUUAUCCGGAAUUAUUGGGCGUAAAGCGUCCGCAGGUGGUCAGCCAAGUCUGCCGUCAAAUCAGGUUGCUUAACGACCUAAAGGCGGUGGAAACUGGCAGACUAGAGAGCAGUAGGGGUAGCAGGAAUUCCCAGUGUAGCGGUGAAAUGCGUAGAGAUUGGGAAGAACAUCGGUGGCGAAAGCGUGCUACUGGGCUGUAUCUGACACUCAGGGACGAAAGCUAGGGGAGCGAAAGGGAUUAGAUACCCCUGUAGUCCUAGCCGUAAACGAUGGAUACUAGGCGUGGCUUGUAUCGACCCGAGCCGUGCCGAAGCUAACGCGUUAAGUAUCCCGCCUGGGGAGUACGCACGCAAGUGUGAAACUCAAAGGAAUUGACGGGGGCCCGCACAAGCGGUGGAGUAUGUGGUUUAAUUCGAUGCGACGCGAAGAACCUUACCAAGACUUGACAUGUCGCGAACCCUGGNGAAAGCUGGGGGUGCCUUCGGAGCGCGAACACAGGUGGUGCAUGGCUGUCGUCA